rnacentral:rRNA from 1 species
GGGUGCCUACGGGACGCAGCAGUAGGGAAUAUUGCUCAAUGGGGGAAACCCUGAAGCAGCAACGCCGCGUGGAGGAUGAAGGUUUUAGGAUUGUAAACUCCUUUUGUAAGAGAAGAUUAUGACGGUAUCUUACGAAUAAGCACCGGCUAACUCCGUGCCAGCAGCCGCGGUAAUACGGAGGGUGCAAGCGUUACUCGGGAUCACUGGGCGUAAAGAGCGCGUAGGCGGGUGGUCAAGUCAGAUGUGAAAUCCUGUAGCUUAACUACAGAAAUGCAUUUGAAACUGAUCAUCAA